rnacentral:rRNA from 1 species
GUACACGCUGUGACUAGCAUAUCAAUAAGCGGAGGAAAAGAAACUAACAAGGAUUCCCCUAGUAACGGCGAGUGAAGCGGGAAGAGCUCAAAUUUGAAAUCUUAAAGGGUUUCCCUUUACGAAUUGUAGUUUAAAGAAGUGUUUUCUGUUGAGGUUUUGGUAAAAGUUCUUUGGAAUAGGACAUCAUAGAGGGUGAGAAUCCCGUAUUUGACCUUUACUUUCAACUUUGUGAUACACUUUCAAAGAGUCGGAUUGUUUGGGAAUGCAGUCCAAAAUGGGUGGUAAAUUUCAUCUAAAGCUAAAUAUUGGCGAGAGACCGAUAGCGAACAAGUACCGUGAGGGAAAGAUGAAAAGAACUUUGAAAAGAGAGUUAAACAGUACGUGAAAUUGUCAAAAGGGAAGCGUUUGACACCAGUGUUGUUUUUCUGAAAAUCAAUUAAAGAACUGUUUAUGCUAAGUUGUUUAGACUUUAUCAGCUAACUGUUUAGUUUUGAGCUUUUCUUUAAUGCACUUUUCAGUUAACAAGUCAACAUCAAUUUCUUUUGCUGUAAAAAAGCUUGAGGAAGGUGGCUUGAGAUUCGUCUUAAGUGUUUAUAGCCUCUUGCCUAUGCAGUCGGAGAGAUUGAGGUCUGCAGCGUAGAUCCUUCGGGGCUAAAUGCAUUUGUGCUAGUUAUAGCAUUUUAUAGACAACUUGUUGACUAUGAUUUGUCUUGUAGCUUACUCGCUUAUGUUAUUUUACCUACGCUUAGGAUGUUGACAGCAGUAUAGACUGU